AGGACGAACGCUGGCGGCGUGCCUAACACAUGCAAGUCGAGCGGGGACGAUGCGACGGAGCAGAAGUUUCGGAUGGAAGUGAAGAUGUAUGUUCUAGCGGCGGACGGGUGAGUAACGCGUGAGCAACCUGUCCCUUACAGGGGAUAACACAGCGAAAGUUGUACUAAUACCGCAUAAGACCACGGUGAGACAUCUCACAGGGGUCAAAGGAGUAAUCCGGUAAGGGGUGGGCUCGCGUCCGAUUAGAUAGUUGGUGAGGUAACGGCCCACCAAGUCGACGAUCGGUAGCCGACCUGAGAGGGUGAUCGGCCACAUUGGGACUGAGACACGGCCCAAACUCCCACGGGAGGCAGCAGUGGGGAAUAUUGGGCAAUGGGGGGAAACCCUGACCCAGCAACGCCGCGUGAGGGAAGAAGGUUUUCGGAUCGUAAACCUCUGUCCUUGGUGAAGAGUUUGAGACGGUAGCCAAGGAGGAAGCCCCGGCUAACUACGUGCCAGCCGCCGC
rnacentral:rRNA from 1 species